rnacentral:piRNA from 1 species
UGCCAGUGUGUGCUCUUCUGACUGCACAGGU